CUGGUUGAUCCUGCCAGGUCUUGAAAGCACCCUUCAACUCUUCCCGGAGGUGUUUCUGGGCUGCAAACUCCUCUUUAUCUGAACGUUUCCGUUUCAAUGGAUCCUGACCGUCGUCCUGCCCUGCGGAAUCCUGCCCCGCUGCCGGCCGGUCUUUCAGAGCCGGGUCUGAGGAUUGCUGCGCCUGAACUUUUGAGGAGGGAAGGAAGAUGAGGCCGCACCCAAGUGCGACAAACAGGAACAAACGGCCGUUGAAAUUCAUUGCGUCAAAAUGCUCCCUACAAUGGCUCUUAUUCUACGUUCCGUGCAGGUGCGCGGCAAGGCAUGAUGUGGCUGUCGCUGGCGAUUCGACGUCCGAGAAGCUGGAAUGUCACCCCAACCGGUAUUUUCACGUGAUCAAGUGCAUGAUUUUCUGAGACAAAUAGCCAUCCAGCUGCGUCAAUUGAAGUGAACGCAAACUCCUCAAAAAAUCGAUUGAUCGGUUCCCGACGGGCACGGCAAUAAGGCGCCUGGAAUAGAACCGACCAAUGCGACCAGUCUUACACCUUCGUUUACGGGUUCGCGGACCGGUGAAUUGUUGGGACGACCGGGAACCUGGCAGGAUCAACCAG
rnacentral:rRNA from 1 species